CCUGUGUUGCCUUAGAAACCAAGCAUGGGUGUGGCCUGAAUCCUCCAAUGGCGACCCAUCCUUGGUUUCUGAGGCUGUACAGA
rnacentral:pre_miRNA from 8 species